CCUACGGGAGGCAGCAGUGGGGAAUAUUGCACAAUGGGGGAAACCCUGAUGCAGCGACGCCGCGUGAGGGAAGAGGUAUCUCGGGACGUAAAGCUCUAGCAGCAGGGAAGCUAAUGACGGUACCUGACCAAGAAGCCCCGGCUAACGACGUGACAGCAGCCGCGGGAAUACGGAGGGCGCAAGCGUUAUCCGGAUUUACUGGGUGUAAAGGGAGCGUAGGCGGCAGCACAAGUCUGGAGUGAAAGCCCGGGGCUUAACCCCGGAACUGCUUUUGAAACUGUGCGGCUGGAGUGCAGGAGGGGUAAGCGGAAUUCCGGGUGUAGCAGUGAAAUGCGUAGAUAUUAGGAGGAACACACGUGGCGAAGGCGGCUUACUGGACUGUAACUGACGUUGAGGCUCGAAGGCGUGGGGAGCAAACGGGAUUAGAUACCCUGGUAGUC
rnacentral:rRNA from 1 species